rnacentral:rRNA from 1 species
UACGGAGGGGGCUAGCGUUGUUCGGAAUUACUGGGCGUAAAGCGCACGUAGGCGGCUUUGUAAGUUAGAGGUGAAAGCCCAGAGCUCAACUCUGGAACUGCCUUUAAGACUGCAUCGCUUGAAUCAUGGAGAGGUCAGUGGAAUUCCGAGUGUAGAGGUGAAAUUCGUAGAUAUUCGCAAGAACACCAGUGGCGAAGGCGGCUCACUGGCCCGAUACUGACGCUGAGGCACGAAAGCGUGGGGAGCAAACAGG